UCCGGCUUGUCACCGGCAGUUUCCCUAGAGUUCUCGGCAUAACCCGUUAGCAACUAGGAAUGAGGGUUGCGCUCGUUGCGGGACUUAACCCAACAUCUCACGACACGAGCUGACGACAGCCAUGCAACACCUGUUUUUGGCCCAGCCGAACUGAAGAGUUUCCAUUACAAAACUCAUAACCAAAAUGUCAAAGGGUGGUAAGGUUUUUCGCGUAGCAUCGAAUUAAACCACAUGCUCCACCGCUUGUGCGGGUCCCCGUCAAUUCCUUUGAGUUUUAAUCUUGCGACCGUACUCCCCAGGCGGAGUGCUUAACGUGUUAACUGUGUCACUAGAUAAAAAUCUAACGACUAGCACUCAUCGUUUACGGCGUGGACUAC
rnacentral:misc_RNA from 1 species